rnacentral:lncRNA from 1 species
GCGAGAAAAGAUAAAAGCGUAGGUACCUUAUGGUGGCGUUGGACCACCACAAAGACCAUUAACCUAAUCUAGAAACAUAAAGAGAAAGGCAUACACACCUACAACUAUUACAAAAAACCCUAUUAUACAUGCUAUGGUCUGCGAGAAAGUAAAUGACGGAAAUAAUUUACAUUUAAACCUAAUUUACAUUCUAAGUUACGAAAAUAAAUAAAUUACAUCAAAAG